CAUCCCAUUAGCUUUAGUAAUAGCUUUAGCCCGGUCGGACUGGGCAGCAAAGGGCAGCUUAAAUGCCGCAAACUCCUCUGCUCCGCCACUUGGACCGCUAGCGCUGACCAUAACUACCGCUUGACAGACUGACCACGCGCACCAUACGCAUACUUUUUUUUCUUUUUCGAAUCUUCGGAUCACGUGCGUACCGAACCGUGGAGUGGGAUCGGUUCAGAUCUCGGAUCAACCGUGAUCACCUAUAGUUAGUGGAUACAGAUUAUGAUGAAGAUGAAGCUACAUCACCAUGUCUCCAUGUGAGGAGGGGCAGCUUUGGGUUAUGGAGCUAUAUGAACCUGACGACUCUCUUACAGUCUGACCUUUGACCUCAGACAGUAGCUCUCCUUGGCUGUUUCACCAUCUCAGGUCCCUGCUGUGACUACAGUAUCAACCCUGGUCCCACUGUGGAUCUUUCUUGAAGCCCCUGGAUGACUCCCACAGUGGAGGAGGGGCCCUUUGUCACAGUGGAUGACCCAGCACUGGCUCCUGCACCUGGACUCUGGACCCUGCUCCAGGUCAUCCACACCCACACAAACUCCACAGGAGUCUGCUGCUGGACGCUGUCAGGCCCAUGAAGCUCUGCUGUAAAGGCUUCCAUGUCCCAGGCUUCACCUUUACCUGCUGACCAAUGGGAGGCGUGGCCAAAACACAGAUGGCGAGUGGAGCAGCAGGUAGGAGAGGGCUCUGAGACCUGGACAUCACCUGGAGGAUGACCACCUUGUGCCUGAACUGGCUCACAUCCAUCCCAGUGAGAGCCCAGACUGGGAGGAAACCAUCAGUGCCAUGGUGAGAAACACCUGACUUUGAUGGAUUGUUGUGAGCAUCAUUAUCCAUGUUUUCUUUUUACACCUGCCCACUCAUGAUCACAGUAAGCUGCUGAAGUGUCACCCUGUGGCUGAGUGACUUUUCAGGGAGGAUGGAGCACUGGGAUAACAUUCACUUGCCACUGUUAUGUUUCUAAAGGUAGACUGCAUGGCUACAGUGUUGCAGUGGGACUGAAAACACCUGAGUGUAAAGAUGUUGUCCCUAUAGUGUACUGAAGCUUGUUUAUAAUGACAUAUGCCGUUGAUGUCCUUACCAUUGGAAAUAAACCUGUACAUUAAGGCUUUGCAGUCAUUGACAG